rnacentral:rRNA from 1 species
UACGGGGGGGGCAAGCGUUGUUCGGAAUUACUGGGCGUAAAGGGUUCGUAGGCGGCCAACUAAGUCAGACGUGAAAUCCCUCAGCUUAACUGGGGAACUGCGUCUGAUACUGGUUGGCUUGAGUGCAGGAGAGGAAUGCGGAAUUCCAGGUGUAGCGGUGAAAUGCGUAGAUAUCUGGAGGAACACCGGUGGCGAAGGCGGCAUUCUGGACUGCAACUGACACUGAAGAACGAAAGCCAGGGGAGCAAACGGG